rnacentral:lncRNA from 1 species
UCAAGGCCUACUGUAAUAUUGUGCAAAAAAUUAUAAACGCAAUAUAUAAAUUGGAAUUUGGUUGAACUGAAAUAUUAACAGGUGUAUUCGGCGCAAAGCCAUGAAAAGAGAGUCAACUUUAAAAGAGAGUUGGUUUUGUUAAUUGAUAUCCAUCAAAUAUUAAUUAAAAUUUAUUCAAUUACUCAUCACAUAUCACAAACGAGUAUUUAAGAAAUCUCUCUGAAUUAUAAAAUGAAAAUACUAUACGAUUUUCAGGGAUCUCAAACAAGUGAAAACCCUAAUAUUUUUGAUAAUUAUCUAAAAAGGAGCUAAUAAGGAAGAGAACAACAUUGUAUGUAAGAAGUUCCUUUUUUAAAAGGAGGCAAGACCUAAACUAACUGGGGGCUGAAAGUGAAAGUUUUAUAAGAACUUGCAAUAGUAUUGAAGGUAACCUGAAAGAAGAAUUAUUGGAAACAACACAUCAAAACGUACUCCACACUAAUGGGGCAAACUUCAUGAUCAAUCAGAUAAUUACGACUAUUUCGUAUGUCUAAUGCAACUGUUUACCUCAAAAAAAA